rnacentral:lncRNA from 1 species
CACGCCUGUAAUCCCAGCACCUUGGGAGGCCAAGGCGGGGGGAUCACGAGGUCAGGGGAUCAAGACUAUCCUAGCUAACACGGUGAAACCCUGUCUCUACUAAAAAUAGAAAAAGUUAUCUCGGUUUGGUGGCAAGUGCCUGUAAUCCCACCUACUCGGGAGGCUGACACAGGAGAAUCGCUUAAACCUGGGAGGAGGAGGUUGCAGUGAGCCGAGAUCAUGCCAUUAGACUCCAGCCUGGGUGACAGAGUGAGACUCCAUCUAAAAAAAAAAAAAAAUUUUCAAGUUAUUGUGAUAUUAAGUGCAUAUUAAAACAGAGUGGCAGUUACAGACUUUGUAUCUUUAAUUUUCAUGGGAAUCAACAACAGGAAACCUUUAGCUCUGUUUGAGACUUCAUAACAGAGCUGUCAUUAAACGUUGCCUUUUUUCUCAUAUCUAGAACAUAGAUAUUUCUCACUCCAUAUGCCAG